GCGAUGGCGUACUGUCAAAAUAAGAUUAAGAGUAAUGUGAAGAACUUCAUCAUCAUCUAUAAAGGCAGUGGUAAACCUCAAGACAACAUACAGUAGAAGGCAGGGUAAAACAUCCUCCCUGCCUCUUAUUAAGAUAUUUUGUGCAGAUUUCAAAUUUGUCAACUGAUGGAAUAUGGAAGGGAAUGGAAUAUGGACAUUUCUCCUUGUUAACGUUAGUAAGCUAUCAACUCAGUAAAGUAUAAGUAAAGUUAUUCCCUCAAAAAUUAUGAUACGUGAUCAUUGUGCAAGAGAAUCUAAUUGAAUCAUCUUUCUUGUAGAAGAGCCUGGUGAAAUAGUAAACCUGACGAUUGUGAUCCUGGGCGCUGUGACUGUUUUCCUUUUAAUGGUCAUCCUUUUAAUGGUUGUUAAAAUCAGGAAACUUCAGACAGCUGAUGAAGUAGAUCCAAAUCCAGAGCAAAGUGAGAAAGAGGACUCUGAUGACCUGAACUACACAGCAGUGACAUUUCAAACAGAAAAAUGAAAGAGAAAAGAGCUGGAGCCGAAUGUUGCGCUGCCACCAGAUAAGACUCGGGAGGCAACUAGAACUGAUGCCCUGUGUUGAAUACAUCUGCUUUUGGAGCUUCUGUGUGGCCUAAACAUUUCAAUUUGACCAAUAAAGAGCUAAUGUUCAUUCA